AGCAGCAGCCGCGGUAAUACGUAGGUGGCAAGCGUUGUCCGGAAUUAUUGGGCGUAAAGCGCGCGCAGGUGGUUUAAUAAGUCUGAUGUGAAAGCCCACGGCUCAACCGUGGAGGGUCAUUGGAAACUGUUUAACUUGAGUGCAGAAGAGGAGAGUGGAAUUCCAUGUGUAGCGGUGAAAUGCGUAGAGAUUAGGAGGAACACCAGUGGCGAAGGCGGCUUUUUGGCCUGUAACUGACACUGAGGCGCGAAAGCGUGGGGAGCAAACAGGAUUAGAGACCCCGGUAGUCCCUGUCUCUUAUAC
rnacentral:rRNA from 1 species